rnacentral:rRNA from 1 species
CAGUCGCCACGGUAAUACGAAGGGGGCUAGCGUUGCUCGGAAUGACUGGGCGUAAAGGGCGCGUAGGCGGCGGCCAAAGUCAGGCGUGAAAUUCCUGGGCUCAACCUGGGGGCUGCGUUUGAUACUUGAUUGCUAGAGUGGGGAAGAGGGUCGUGGAAUUCCCAGUGUAGAGGUGAGGUUCGUAGAUAUUGGGAAAAACACCAGUGGCGAAGGCGGCUCACUGGACCGACACUGACGCUGAGGCGCGAAAGCGUGGGGAGCAAACAGGAUUAGAUACCCCUGUAGUCCCUGUCUCUUAUAA